ensembl:lncRNA
GCUGUGUGUACACUGACCACGGAGCCAGUGUGCUUUUGGUCAUAACUUUCCGAGAUUUAUUAACUUUCUGUUGAAACUUUCCCAGAUUUGGCAGCUGCUGAAGUACAAACAGUGCGGUCGCAGGCUUAUUCUUCUUCACUCUGCUAUGGCUCUAAGCGUUGUGGUAAUUUGUAAUAAUGUUUAUUUUAGGAAGGGGAGAAAGGCCAAAAAGACAGUUAACAGUUCAGAUUUGAAACAAAAUUUAAUGUACGAAAACGUUGACAUGUAUUUCAGCAGUUGGCCUGAUUUGUAGGAAUCACAGUCAAUUCAAGACUGGCACAAUCUCAACAAAUUGAAAAGUGUUUAGAUCUGAUCCCAGAGCAGCGGCAGCCGGUAAGCCGGCGUCUUAACCGGCCCACGCCGUGAGGAGCUCCGCGCUCCCGACGCUGCGACUGCACGCCUUCGGACUCUGACUGCUGCAGCUCCAGCAGUCGCCUUGCUGCCCGCAAUGAGCGCUUUGCUUCGGAGCGUAAACAUGUAGUAGCUGUCGGCCUACGCACAAAUGGAGCCAUCCGAGGAACAGUAAACUAAUUAGCACGGAGGACGCCGAAGGAGUUUCACAUUACCCCAGGAGGGAGAGAAUCGAGCUACGUUUUGUAAAUAAGGAUGCAUUUAUAACAAGCUUUAUUGAAAUAGGCCUACUGACUAUUUAUCGGCAAGUUUGGCUUGGGAACCCAUCGGUUUGAUGUUAUUGUUGUGGUGUGGUGGUUCUCGGGAUUAGGGGGAUUUUCUGCAGGUUGAAACCCUAACCCGCACGUGUAAUCAAACCGGAACAAUUGUCAACAUUGAUGUAGCCCCUUAGCUCUCUGAGGGCAGUAAAUAAAACCCCCCGUCUGUUAUGUCAUUGUGUGGCUGAAGCGUUCUCUCCUCCUGAACAUUAACCGUGAAGUGCUCGAAGGGGACUCUCCAGAGGUACUCAAACACAGGUUAUGGCUUUUCCAAGCAAUUAGCGCUCGUUUAAUUUCAUCCCGGAAUACAUUCUUUGUGGUUCCAACCUUCAUGGACAAAUAGAAACGCAGAUAAUGAAGGCUCUGGAUAGAGCCCAAUCACUCAUCCGUAAUACUGUCACAUGACAUACAGCAAUGUCCAUUAAAGUACUGCAGAUAACAUUAGUUCCAAUGAAAGAAAACAAAUCAAAACAAACAAAAACAUUUUUUUAUCUAUGUACAGGGACAUAAAAUAUACACAGUUGCGGGUGGCCUUAUAGCGCCCUCACCCGCCAAAUAUGAACACAAGGGACACCUCCAUGAGAACCAUAAACUGAUAUCGCGCCCUUUUACAUUUAUUUUUCAAAUCCUGCUGAAAAAAUAGACUGUUAGCCCAGACCCGAAUGAGCCAAACCACGGUUAGAGAGUAUGAUCACGGAUACUAUACCGACACGGAGAACAAGGAGUAGGCUUUACAUUUGAGAGUUUACGUUAGUGUUUAAGAGACAGAAUUUAAUCCAAUGCAAUUUUCGUCGAGAUUCCGAUUCAAGAUGAAAAAAGUGCUUCUAAUAGUCGGAGUACUUCAUCCAGCCCCCCCUCCCCCACACUGUUAGUCCUAAUUCUCUCUCUCUUUUUUUACACUAUACAAUACACUUUCCAUUCUCUCUUCCCCUAAUUAUUAAUUGAUCCCCUCCCCUUCCCCCACUGCCUUUUCCGGCGCAGCGAGAGUGCAGUGGUGGGGGGGCCGCCCUGCUGGGGGGGGCCUCCAAAGUCAGAGGGCUAUAGUCUCAGGGCUUUCAGUCUCAGUGGGGAAGCCCCCCCCCCCCCUGGGGGUCCAAUCCCAGUCCCUAUGUCCUUAGACUCCGCCUCCUCCUGUGCGUUGUUUAUUUUUUUUAUCGACAUGCCCUCACAGAAACACAAAAAGAAAUGAGUAGAUUACGUUGGUUUGGGGUUUCUUUUUUUGAUCGGGUCUCAAAAUGUCCGCUUCUGCUAUACCUUCACCUUCCUUGACCUGCGUCCGUCCUCUCCUUCCAUCGCUUCUGUUUUUCGUCAGUGGUUGUCAUAUUCCUUCAUCAAUGGCCAACACCGCUCGCCCUCCUCUUCGUCAACCCUCCCGGGAUCAGCGCGUAGUGGAUGAACUCCGACACUCCGACCCCCCUCCGGCCACUCUAUACGGCCUGCUGCAGCAGGACGAGGGCCAAGACAAGGCCCGGGACCAGUGCCCAGGGGCCCCUCAGACUGGCUGAGCCGUCGCCGGGCUGGUCCUGCUGCCGGAUCAGACCACCGUAACCACUGACGGGCUCCAGGUGAGACUGGGGGAGAG